GAGAGCAGGCACCCUGGCCCACCCUACUCUUGAAUGUAGAGCAUAUGUAAACAGGAACCUGCACCUCUGCCCUGGGCCCCCUGCAGACCUUGACACUGCUGUUAGGAGCAGGCCUGGCACACAUUUACUCAGGGAUAAGUGUAAGGAGUAUCUUUAGUAGGCAAGCCUGGCCUUUCUAGAUGCAAGGAAAAGCACAGCCUGCUCAGGGAGGUCAGUGGCAGGCUGCCCUUUGGGAUAUCCCUCCAGGCCAGGGAGGUCUUCGGUACUCCAUGCUCAGCAGUGAGAAAAAAGCUAAAUGUAGGGGAAUUAUAGGGGCAUCCUCAAAGAACUGUAUUCGAGCCAAAAGUGAGGUCUGAGGCUACCACCCAGAGGAGAGCUCAGCUUCUUCACAGGCCACAAUGAGACAGACAAGACGCCCUCAGGAGGAGGAUGGGAGAGGUUUGUUUGGUCAUGGAAGACAGGGACAAGCAAACAAAGGCAUCAGACUGAAAUACGCGUAAAAGGUGCCCGCCUCAAAGGGCAUGGUUCUGGACAAGGAGGGAGGGGGCGCACAUUGCUCUAGGCCUUGAGCUUUCCUUUGUAAAAUGAGGAGAUACAGAAGGUGAUCCCCAAGAUCCCUCCCAGAGCUACUGGACAUAAAUCCAUGCCAAUUUCCCUCUCACCCCCAAAAGCGAUUUACUCAUUUGUAUUCUGUUAAAUCCCAAGUUCUUUUUCCCAGCUCCAUUCUUCUCUGACCAACCGAAUUUUACCUGCUUGGAAGGCACAGGCAUUGGCAUAUUCUGCCCCCACUUAUCACAACUGCCCACCUCCCUAGCCUGCAAAUUCCUAAACUGCUCACCAGAGUGUGAGAUGUGUUAAAAAUUGAUCUCCUGGUACACAGGGUGAAGAUGUGACACUGUUAGAACUAGCAGGCGUCAAGGUGUCUGGAAUCCAAAGGACACUAGACGGGGCCCUUUGAACCAGGCACGUGAAGUCAUGUGUUAGAGAUGUGGGGAUCGGGGAAGCUCCAGGAAGGGAAUCAAACACUAAGGAGACUCCUGGUGGUGCCUCGGCCAUUGUGAUGGAGACAGGAGCAAUGAGAUGGGGUUCUGUUAAAUGGCAGGGUGCAGCUCUGGACCCACCCAGCCCAGCUAGGCAUUAGUGAAAGCAGAGAUGCAGGGCUUGGUGCAAGGCCAAGAGCAGGCAAGGGCAAGCUGGGGUGGGGUGAGGGUACAGGAGGAAAGUGCAAUUCGGUGCCACCGCCACAGCAGCAGGGCCCAGCAGGCCUGCCUGCUCCCUUCCGGUGUUAAGAAGCCUGUGCUGGAGAAGAGACCUUCCCAGGGAAAUGCCUGCCAAAAGUGCUAAGAAGGACAAGGAGCACAACAUUACUCAACGCGAUCAUUUGCCAUUUAUAAGGCUCUUCACAUACAUUACCUUAUUUGGUUUUCAUAAUGGACGUCUAAAGAAAAAGAAAGAUGUAUGCACCUAAAGAUAAGGAAAAUGAAACUCAGGGAAACUAAGUGACUUGCCCAAGAUCACACAGCAAUGAUUGAUAGAACCCAGGAGUGUCUAUGAACCAAAGCCCGCUGUCAGAAGAUUCCCUGACAUGAAGUAUGUAUAUACAAUGGAAUAUAAUUCAGCCUUAAAAAGGAAGGAAAUUCUGACACAGACUACAACAUGGAUGCACCUUGAAAACAUGAGGCUAAGUGAAGACACAAAAGGACAAAUACGGUAUGUUUCUACUAAUAUGAGGUAUCCAGAACAGGCAACUUCACAGCAGUGGUUGACAGAGGGUGGGGGAAAGAAGGAUGGAAGUUUUGAUGGGUACAAAGUUUCAGUUUGGGAUAAAAAAGUUCUAGAAAUGGAUAGCACUGAUGGUUGCUCAGUACUAUAAUUAUAGUUCAUGCCACUGAAUUCCACACUUAACAGUGACUAUGUUGGCAAAUGUUUCGAUUAUUUGGAUAUGAUUCUUGCGCCCAGGAAUCUGUUUUAUUUGCUGAGCUACUCCUUUCAGAAGUUUCCACUUUUUCUAAUCUUUCGUUUCUAUUUACACACUUCCGAGAACCAAAACUCUGCCUUGGUUACUGUAAGAUUCUCUUCUGUUUUGUACCGACCUAAACCAACUGGGUUCUUUCUGUAGCAGUUAAAAGCAACGUUCGCAUUCCCAGUUGGUAUGUUACAGUAAGAACAAGUUUCAGGCUGUAUUCUCCCAUGCAUACAAAUUUUUUUUCCCCAAGACAGAGUCUUGCUCUGUCACUCAGAGCUGGAGUGCAAUGGCAAGAUCUUGGCUCACUGCAAUGUCCACCUCCUGUGUUCAAGCAACUCUCCUGACUUGGCCUCCCCAAUAGCUGGAAUUACAGGUGUGCACAACCACACUCGGCUAAUUUUUGUAUUUUUAGCAAAGAUGGGGUUUCACCAUGUUGGCCAGACUGAUCUUGAACACCUGAUCUCGUGAUCCACCUGACUCAGGCUCCCAAAGUGCUGGGAUUACAGGUGUGAGCCACCUCGCCCAGCCACAAAUAUUUGUUAGCCAGCUGGCCCAAACACAUAGCCUAUCCAGAACACUCAAUGAAAUUCUAGCCUACUGACCUUUUUUGUCUGUGUGAUAGCACACUGCAUGGAGAUGCAGCAAUAUUCCAGUGGUGGAUUAGGAGUCAGACUAAAAUUCUCUGAUUUAGUGUCUGUAAAUAGGACUGGUUUAAUAUCUUAGGGCACCACUGCAAAGAGCAUGCAUUGCCGUUGAACUUGCUAAAUUUAUAUACCUUUCCCAUGCAAGGGCAGGGAGAGCUCCUGUAUCUGAUACUUCUGGCCAGUAUAUACAUUUCAAACUACUUGUUUCACCCAAGAAAAUGAUUUCUAACAUCCAUUAUGCUAAUUAGCAAAGCUCUGGUGUUGAUAGGAUAUAAAAGUACCUGGAGGUCUUGCAGAGGCUGCAGAGGGAAUGUAUCUUCUGCUUGGAGUCUUUCAAAUGUUAACUAACCACCCCUGAAGUACAUAUUCCUGAUUAGAAUUCCUCACGUGCUAACUCAUCACCCUCUAGAAUUUGGAUCUAAAGGAUAUCUCACAGUUAGGGUUGCCAGAUAAAAUAUAUCUAAUAUUUGGGACAUACUAAGAUAUUACUUAGUAUUUACCUGAAACUCAUAUUUAACUAUGUUCUGUAUUUUACUUGCUAAAUUUGUCAAGUCUACUCACAGUCUAUACUGUAUUGAAGUGUUUUAAAAUGAACUACAGACAAUAUAACAAAUGCCUCUGGAGUAACAAAAAUAAUAUUUUUAAUGGAGAUGUCUUUUAGCACAAUUUCUUUCUUAUCACUUAUUUCUUCUUAUGCUUUUAAGUUCAGGGUUACAUGUGCAGGACGCACAGGUUCGUUACAUAGGUAAACGUGUAUCGUGGGGUUUGGUCGUAUAGACUAGAUGAAAAUAAUAUUUUAAGUUAUUGUUUGUUUCCCUGAUUUGGCGGUGACCGUUUCCAAGCACGACUUUUCUCCUGCUGCAGAUUUUGACAGUUCUGAGCAGGUGUAACAAUAAGCUAGUUGCUUUAACAUCCGCAGAAAUGAAUAGAUGUUCCUGCCACAAUCCAUGGUCCAUCACUCCCAAAGCUUAGAUGCCUACCUGCUGACAUCGAAAUCAGAAUUCAGCAAGAGCAGACCCACAAGCAGAGCAAGAAGUUUCUGAACCUCUUUGUGUGUAUGUGUGUGUGUGUGUGUGUGUGUGUGUGAGAGAGAGAGAGAGAAAGAGAGAGAGAGAGUGUGUGUGUGUGUGUGUGUGUGAGAGAGAGAGAGAGAGAGAGACAGAGAGAAUGAUAUUGCCCUCGGAUGCAGAAAUGUGCUUUACUCUUGCAUGCGAGAAUAAUACUGUACUGCUUGUUCCUCGUGCACAGGAAUUACAAUGAUCUGAUAUUCUAGGUAGUUUCACAUUAAAGUCUUUUCCUUGCACAGAGGGAUUUAGAAUUCACUAGUGGAGGGUGGGGAGAGAGAGGAAUAAUAAAGACAGGAUAAUAGUACCUUAUCUGAAGGAUUUUCGUCAUCAUCCUAAAAUAAAAUAAAAUUUAUUUUCCAGAAUUUUUCUAAUUUUAAUGCUUAACAUUGUUAAGAGAGGAAAUUCUCAGGGCUGAAAUAAAAUAACAUUGUCCUCCCUCCAUUCCCAUCCCUAAGUAUUUGAGGAAGGGGAAAAACAGGAGGGAAACCUUUUCUUUUCUAUCUAAUGGGGGAUUAAAGGGAUCCUCCCAAAUGUCCUAGAGAAGGUGAAUAGUUACAAAAAAUUAAAUAUGAAAAUAAAAAGGCGGUGUCUGGGACCCACCCCUGUACCCCAGAGCCUCCUGGGAAAGGUCACCAAGCAGGUCAGAUCCCCUGUAGUGGGCCCAGGGAGGCCGGGCUCCUGCGGUCUCACUCCCCGGGUUGCAGCUUAAUAAAGCUUAAUAAAAGGUGUGAUUACCAUGGCAACCUCAGAAACACUUUCAAAUAGAUGGCCAAUUAUUAUUCACUCAUUUACUGUUUAUUGUAGUGAUGCCAAUCACAAUGAACUCCAGGGGUGCAUUAAUGGAGAUGUGAUCUGGGCCUGGGGCCCUUGGGAAAUGGCAUUGUAGUGCUUCCUUCAUUAGCAUAGUGCCUUCAAGGUGGGUGGGCACACAGUUUCUCCCUUUGGUGCCUUGCCACCCAAGCACAGCCAGAGAAAAGUACACACCACACACACACACACACGGUGCCCCCAGUAUACACCCAGGUCCCCAGACAGAAGGACAGAAACCUACGCUCAGCGCUGGUGGGAGUUUUAAUAUUUCUCAUCCUUCCCAGUGGACCCUUUCCCCACUUCAAAUUUGAUAAACAAAUACACUGCCUCCUUAAAACUGGGCCCGGCUCUCAGGGGAAGGAAGAUGUACCAAGCCUGUUUCCCCUUCCAGAAGGCCUUUGAGGUAGGCAGUUUAGAAGACUGGAGGGAAGAAUACAGUGAGUGAGUGAUUAUUCUUUUAUUAAAACGCUCAACCCCACUCCCAGCCCUGCCUUCGCCGUUCCUCAAGAUCUGGCAACCUAAACACACAUUCUCUUCAUCUCAGAGACAUGUGCAGGCAGAAUGGCUUGUUGACAUGUUUCUGUGUGUUUUAUUUCUUUCUUUUUUUUUGAGAUGGAGUUUCAUUCUUGUUACCCAGGCUGGAGUGCAAUGGCGCGAUGUCGGCUCACCGCAACCUCCGCCUCCUGGGUUCAGGCAAUUCUCCUGCCUCAGCCUCGUGACUAGCUGGGAUUUCAGGCACAUGCCACCGUGCCCAGCUAAUUUUUUGUAUUUUUAGUAGAGACGGGGUUUCACCAUGUUGACCAGGAUGGUCUCGAUCUCUUGACCUCGUGAUCCACCUGCCUUGGCCUCCCAAAGUGCUGGGAUUGCAGGCUUGAGCCACUGUGCCCGGCCCUGUGUGUUUUAUUUCUAAAGUAAUUUUCUCUCCCUCUUUAAGAAGGUAGCUGGUCAUUUAAUGAACUGGAAAUGAUGGAAAGACAGCUUCCACCCUUGGUUUCUUGGAUGGAUUCUACCAGACCUUCCCAGAGAAGCAGAGGAAUGGGGACUUUCCAAGGUGUCAUGGGGAUGGGAGUUUGGGAAGCAGAGGGCUUUGAAGGGGUUGGCUCAUGGCUCUAUCUGAGGAGCCUCAGUAGGAUUCCUUUCCCAUCUCUAUGUUCAAUACAAAAGCAACAGAACCAUCCACCCCCUAGGUUCUGCAGGAACAGGAAAUGAUUUUAUCAUUGGGGACCAGUGAGGACCCAGGAUCAAAGGAUUUCUCCAGUGCUGGCUCUGUGCACAACCUGGCCCAAAGGAAGGGGGCGGGUUGGAAAGCAUCCCUGAUACCCUGGUGGGAUGGAAACUCAACGCCAGAUUUCGUUUAUUUUAAUCAAGUAGCAUAGCAUUUCUUGUGUACCAGAAUGCAUGGUAAACUCCAGACCAACUGCUCAGCUGCCAGGCAGACCCCACGCCAACAUGGCCUGUUCUUCUAAAGGCAGCUAAUUCUUGCCCUGCCCAGCUCAUUCUGAUUCCUGUAGCAACUCCCUCACUGGUGCCAAUCAGGCCCAGUGACAGCCGGGGGUGGGAAGGCUUGAGAGUGACUCACUUGUUUUUGCUUGUCUCUGCCUCUGCCCAUGCUCAGGGUGUGGGGGCAGUGUUAAAGAAAAGAUUAUCCUGGCCGGGUGCGGUGGCUCACACCUGUAAUCCCAGCACUUUGGGAGGCAGAGGCGGGUGGAUCAUGAGGUCAAGAGAACGAGACUAUCCUGGUCAACAUGGUGAAACCCCGUCUCUACUAAAAACACAAAAAAUUAGCUGGGCAUGGUGGUGCGCGCCUAUAGUCCCAGCUACUCGGGAGGCUGAGGCAGGAGAAUUGCCUGAACCCAGGAGACGGAGGUUGCGGUGAGCCGAGAUCGCGCCAUUGCACUCCAGCCUGGAUAACAAGAACGAAACUCCAUCUCAAAAAAAAAAAAAAAAAAGAAAAGAAAAGAUUAUCCUGACACUUGUUAAAAUGGUUAAGGAAGACUUUCUGCAGGACUGUCACGACAGGCAGCACAACUAUUGCAAUAGGGGAGAAAGAUUGGGCUUGGCCCCGAUUACAGCAAAGACAGGUGUGAAUUGAUAAUAGCCAGUGAGCAGAAUGUGCGGGUCGGUGGACCAAGAGAGGCGAAUUCUUGCUAAGUCAACUUAAUGAGAUUCUUACUGAAGCCAGACAGAGUAAGUUGCUCAGAUAUCAAGGGUGGGAAGAUUCCUCAUAAACUAGCUUUCUGGGACUUUCACUAAUAUUAGUCUGCAGAGACAGACAAGGAAGACCAAGGCUGAAGACUGGUAGAGAAGGGCUCAGAGAAGCCAGACUCAAGUUUGGUCAACGAGAGAAUCUUCAUCAGUAGUCACUGGAAAUGGGCUCUAGGGAAGGAAGAGCCGAACAAGAAAUUGGUCUGGGAGGGGGUUGUCUUUGUUUUCUGGCAAAAUUAGACAGCACUCAAAGGGCAGCCGACUAGGAAAAAGUAUGCUUAUCAAGCAGUGCUCAGUGAAGCCUGGGUAAGGCUAUCAGGGAACUGCUUCCCUGCACUGCGUUUAGGCUAGCUGAAGGGACCCUUGCAGCCAGCACUUUAAAAAGUCAAAUCGUUUCGGAUAUCCAAGAGGUUUGUCUGCCCUAGGCCUUUUCUCAGUAGCUAAGUGCUGGCCAGGGAGGGAUUCAAAUCCUGCCUUUACUAGUUUUGCUCUCUGUUAACCGUGAACACAGACACAAGGUGUCUAUACACAACCCCUUGGGAGCUCAGUUUCUUCUUCAGGAGGCUGAGGAUGGUCAUGUUUCCACUCUCAUUCAUUGUAAUGAUGUUUAUAAAGCCCAGGAGAAAUGCUCGAUCAAUGCGAGCUCCGCUGCCUCGUUCAGUCUGGGAGGACCAGUUGAGACAAAGGCUCUUCUCCCCAUCUCAGAGUCCUAGAGAGAGACCUAUAGCUCUUCUUGAGGCACAACGCCCUGCUCUCCAAAUGAUCUUCCUCCUGACUUACAUCCCACCUGCAGAUGAUGCUUAUCCCAUCUGGACAGUUCCUGCCUUAUAGGAAUUCCUGGGAGCUUAGUCUAACUUCUCCAGCUUUUUCUUUUAAUGGUGGUGAGAUGCUAGAAAGGGUAGCACUAGGGACUGAAUGUUAGUGCCACCUUCAAAUUCAUAUGUUGAAUCCUAACCCCAAGGUGGCAGUAUUGGGAGGAAGUGGUUGGUUUAUCCUAACCCCAAGGUGGCAGUAUUGGGAAGUGGGGGUUUGGGGAGGUGGUUAGGUUACCAAGGUGGAGUCUUCAUGAAUGGGAUGAGUUGUUUCCUAAACAGGACCCAGACAGCUGGCUUGGCCCCGCCAUGUGAGGACAUAGCAAGAAGGUCUCUCUAUGGACCAGGAACCAAUCCCUCACCAAGACACCAAAUCUGCCGGCGCCUUUAUCUUGGACUUCCCAGUCUCCAGAACUGUAAGAAAUAAACUCCUGAUUAUAAGCCACCCAGUUGUUUAUAAGCCAUCCAGUCUGUGGUGCUUUGUUUCAGCAGCUCAAACUGGUGCAGACGGAGUGGGAGUGGCAGGGCAGCAGGGACCUCAGGAGCCAGAAACCUGCCUGUGAUCCCAGAGUGAGGCGAAGGUGGUGCCAAGAGACUGGUAUGACUCUUGACUCUCAGUCCAAAGAUCCUGAAGGCAUGAGACCCAAGAGAGGUUUUGAGGGGGCAGAGGGGAGGCGGGGGUCCCACAAAGAACGGUUCUCAGAAAGCAAACCCAGGUGAGGAGUACAUAGGAGGUCAUCUCUGGCAGUUUGGCCUGACUUUCCCCAAUAGUUCUAACUGACUUUCCCCAAUAGUUCUAACUGACUUUCCCCAGUAGUUCUAACUGACUUUCCCCAAUAGUUCUAACUGACUUUCCCCAAUAGCUCUAACUUUAAUUCAGCUCAACAAACACUUCUAGAACAUGACUUUACCAUACACCGACUGUACAAGACGUUAGGAAUACAAAGAUAAAUAAGACUCAUUCUCUGCCUCAAGAAAUUUGCAGCCUAAGGAGAAAUCAGGAAUGCAAACAAAUAAAUUCUAAUACUCUGUUGGAUGGGUGCUGGAAUGGCUGGCUGAGCCUGCUGCUGUGGGACCACAGGAUGGGAUUGUGAGGUCUGCUUGGAGGGUGAGGGGAGGCGUCCCAGAGGAGGCGAAAGUUCAUCUCCCCAUUCAGAGAAUGAAGUAGAAACUGUGCAGGGCAGAGAGCUAUAGAAACACAAGGCCUGCUUGGAGAGGCAAGUGUUUGGGAGGCAAGUGUCAGGAGAGGGGCUGGAGAGAUAAGAGAAGGAAGCAUGAGGAGGUCUUUGAAGGGCCACCCAGGCUGUUGGAAUUUUAGAAAGGCCAUUUUGAUGGUGGCUUGGAGGAUGGCUUGGGUAGGGAAGGGUGGGGACACCCCUGCAGUAGCCCUAGAAAGAGGCAAAGCCAGUGUGGAGAAGUGGAGCUAAACCUUCCCAGCCAGGCGACCUUGGCUUCAAUUCUGGUUCCCACUAACUGUGUGAUGUUGGGCAAGAUCUUCAGCCUCACCGAUCCCCAGGCCCCCGUGUGUAAAAUGAGGAUACUAGAGAAUACGCCUUUGUGAUUCUGAUGAGGAUUAAACACAGAUAAUUUUGUCAGCUGCCUGACAUGGGUUCCGGCUCACAUUGCAGGCACCCAAUCAGCUAAGGCCAAAUCGCAGGAGAGAUGCGUUUGAAGUGAAGCACAUAGAAUAGUGUCUAGCAUAUAGUGGGCACUCCAAUCGCAUUUGUAGUCUAACAAAUCGAAUCUAGGAGAAGAGGGGAAAAGGAGUCUAAGAUGAUUCAGAAAGUUCUAGAAUGAUCUCUGGUUGGCGCUUUGACAGCCAUGGGGAGGCACACACUCCGGGAGGUGGGGGUGUAGCUGCCUUGGGAUCUUACUCCUCUGGCUCCCACCUUCCACCACCCAUUCUCCCUGGGUCCUGCAGGUGGCUUCAUCCCUGACACUACAACCAGACAACUUUCUACCUGGGGUGCUGCUAGCUAUCUUUAGUUCUCUAUCCCAUUUUUUAAAGGAAAGAAAUCUAGAUACUCCUACAGAUGUGAUCGUGCAGCUUUCCAUGGGUGGGCAGCCAUUCUGGUAUCUGGUGGAAAGGGAUAGAAACAGGAGUCACACUUGAGAGCUGAAAGGGGAUGAAUCCAUGCUGGUCAGGUACCUUCCAUGUGCUGGGCUCACAGCAUUAUUUUAUGUAAUCCUCACAAUCAGCUUGUGGGUUUGAAAUUUUCUUUUUGAGAUGGAGUUUCACUCUCGUUACCCAGGCUGGAGUGCAAUGGCGCGAUCUCGACUCACCGCAACCUCCGCCUCCUGGGUUCAGGCAAUUCUCCUGCCUCAGCCUCCUGAGUAGCUGGGAUUACAGGCACAUGCCACCAUGCCCAGCUAAUUUUUUUGUAUUUUUAGUAGAGACGGGGUUUCACCAUGUUGACCAGGAUGGUCUUGAUCUCUUGACCUCGUGAUCCACCCGCCUUGGCCUCCCAAAGUGCUGGGAUUACAGGAUUGGGCCAUGAAUUUUUUUUUUUUUUUUUUUUUUGAGAUGGAGUUUCACUCUUGUUACCCAGGCUGGAGUGCAAUGGCGCGAUGUCGGCUCACGGCAACCUCCACCUCCUGGGUUCAGGCAAUUCUCCUGCCUCAGCCUCCUGAGUAGCUGGGAUUACAGGCACACGCCACCGUGCCCAGCUAAUUUUUUUGUAUUUUUAGUAGAGACGGGGUUUCACCAUGUUGACCAGGAUGGUCUUGAUCUCUUGACCUCGUGAUCCACCCGCCUUGGCCUCCCAAAGUGCUGGGAUUACAGGAUUGGGCCAUGAAAUUUUUUUUUUUUUUUGAGAUGGAGUUUCACUCUUGUUACCCAGGCUGGAUUGCAAUGGCGCGAUGUUGGCUCACGGCAACCUCCACCUCCUGGGUUCAGGCAAUUCUCCUGCCUCAGCCUCCUGAGUAGCUGGGAUUACAGUCAAGCGCCACCGUGCCCAGCUAAUUUUUUGUAUUUUUAGUAGAGACGGGGUUUCAUUAUGUUGACCAGGAUGGUCUUGAUCUCUUGACCUCAUGAUUCACCCGCCUCGGCCUCCAAAGUGCUGGGAUUACAGGCAUGAGCCACCGCGCCCGGCGUGAGUUUGAAAUUAUUACUAUCAGCCACAUUUCACUGAAGGGGAAAAUGGGGCCCAGAAAAGUUAAGGAACUAUUGUAAGGUCACACAGCUAGUGAGUAGGGAAAACAGGGUCCAACCACAUCUACCAGGCUUCAAAAUUCUUGCUUUUUUCCACUGUCCCUUUCUAAACAGCCAGGGACUAAGAUAGUAAAAGGAAAGGAUAGUAACACAGACACUCAAUGAAAGUGUCAGAGUAUGAAAGAAUGAAGAGAGGGUCGGGUGAGGGCAGCUUCCUAGUGGGUCCCACCUUCCAGCCUUGGAUGGGCAGCACCUCCAAGCUAAAGCUGGCACACUCUCUCCUUGGAUGGCAGCCACAGGCUUAGGCCCUGCACUGGACAUCUCCCUGGGCCACUCACUGCCCUCUCCUCCUGGAUCUCUCCCUCCACCCUCCUCUCUGCCCCAGAGCCUGCCUGUAGGAAGCUGGCCCUCUUCACAGAGGCACUCCUUGCUUCCAGCUGCUCACUAGAAUCCUAGUGGGGCUGAGGCUAGCACACCAGGGACUAAUCCCCAAAGACAAACAGACUGGACUGGUUAACCCAGACCUCCUCAUGCACAUAUUUAAACAUCUGAAGAAGCCCCUGAAACCUCAGAGGCUCAAUUAGACACAAUGAGAUCCAGUUAAAGAGGCCCCUCUUCUGUGAGGCCCUCCUUGACCACAUCAUUUGAACCAUGAUUGUCAUUUUUAUUGAGGACUACGUGCCAGACAGUCUGCAAAGCAUGUGACCUGCAUUUCCUCACUGGGUACUCACCGCAAUCAAGUGUCUAGCCAUAUGGCAGAAAUUCAACAACGUCCGAUGAACAACCAGCUGGCUAAUAGGGCAUGAAGAUGCCGGAGCAGCAACCCCCACAGGAAAGGUGAUUGGGUUCCACUAAGGAGGACCUCCUGCUUGGGCAGAUCUGGGGAGUCCUGCCGUGCCCUGCCCUGCCCUGCCGUCAUCUCAUUCCCUGCUGAGGAUGGGAAGAGGAAGGGCAGGCCCUGGAAACAGAACCAGGUGAUACCUUUGUUCUGUAUCUUGAUGGGCUCUCUACAAGUGCCAUCUGAAGCAAGUCACUUCGACUCUCUAAGCCUUAUUUUAUUCGUCUCAAAAAUGGAAAUGACAAUCAUCUGCAUAAGUCAUACGGCUUCCUGGGACUUAAUGGGAUCAUGGAUAUGAAAUGCUUUAUAAACUGUAAAAUGUGAGGCUUUGUGCUUAAUUACAGGUGAGCACGCACAUGCUCACACAGCCUCAUCUAUAGGCGCCCAUGGAUUCAUUCACACUCACAGGCUCUUACUCCAAAGACAAAUUAGCAUCACGAUGUAGCCCCCUUGAAGUCCCAUGCUGGGACCUCCCUGUGCCCUCCCUCCUCCCUUUGCCAUUACCCACUUAGACUGAGUGGGUUCGGGAAGAUUGAGGAGGGGCUGAAGAGUUUCAAGGAGAAGCAGGUGGGUCUGGAACACAGACUGCUCUACCCACACCUGCCGCUCUCUUUGCUGUUUGCGUUUGCAUUUCCUUGACACACAGGCACCUGGGAACCGCAGUGGUAGGCUGCCCCCUCGGAGAGUGCUCCACAGAGCAGAACUAACUCUGCAUGGCAGGUUCAAACUCAGCAGCUUCUUUUGGGUGCCUACAAUACAUUCAUUCAUUCUCCCAUUCAACAAAAUUUAUUGAGCACCUACUAUAUAGGCACAGAACUGCACUUCAUGCUGAGAAUCCAAAGACAAGGUAGUCAGUUCCUGUCUUUGAAGCUCACAAAGGCAGACACAGGAGCCGAGGCAAUUCGGGUGGAACAGCAGGCACGUCCCGAAUGGCAAGAGGCUCCACAGGCUAUGGAGUAGAUGGGCUAAGCACAGCCAGAUGAUGAGACUGAAGAUGUCAAACCCAGGGCCCCAAUCCCAAAAAGCCUUCAUGCCACACCCACGAGAUUGGACUUUCAUCCUCUGAGCCACUGAAGGAGAUUGGGGAAGAGUGAGGCAGGAGCUAAGUGGAUUUUCUCUCCUUUUUUAUGUAACUUUUCCCCUGUUACUAUAUUCCUCUCCAAAACUGAUAGUAGUUACAUAAAUGUGCUAAAGCAGUGAAAUAAUAUAAAGUUUGAUAAAGAAAACUUUUAUAAUUUCUCCCACCCCACUUCUAAUUGCCCCGGUAUCCUCUAUACCAGUGGUUCUCAAAGCGCGUUCCCUGGAAGAGCAGUGUCGGCAUCCUCCCGGAACUGGUUAGAAAGGCAAGUUCUUAUGCCUCACUCCAGACUAUUAAAUAAGAAACCCUGGGGUGUGCCCAGCAAUCUGCUACUGUCCUUCAGGUGAUUCUGACGCUUAUGAAAGCUUGAGAACCGCUGUCCCAGACCACCCCAGGUACCCAAUCAUUUCUCAGGCAAAUAUGGACAUGUAGAAAUAUAUGCCAUUUUUAAACUAGUAGCUUCUAAGAAAAAGACAUCAUACCCUUUAUUAAGCAAUCUGCUUAUCUCAUGUCAUUAUAUUGCUUCUAGUCAAUAGACACAGAAAUAACUCAUUUUUUUAAAUGUAUGUAUAAUUUCCCAGCUUACAGUUGUAGUAACAUUUAUUCAAACAUUUACUGUUGGAUAUCAAGGUUAUUUACAAUUAUGUCAACACCUAAAAUAAUGCUACAAUAACUCACAUAACUCAUGCAGUCUUAGAUACUGGUGCUUUUAUUUCUAUAGGAUAGACUGCCCCCCAAAAAAGUAGGACUGCUGAAUCAAAGGUUAUGGUGUUUUUAAUGUUAGUAGAUUGCCAUCUUACUUUCCCCUAACAUUGUAGGAACAUACAGUCCCAUCAGCAAAACAGAAGAUGCCUGUUUCAUCACAUCCUCACCAACUCUUGAUCUUGUAGCUCUUUGCAUCCACAUUUUAGAAAGAUCAUUAGAGCAAUUCAGUGAAAAACAGAUGUGAUCCAAUGGAGGAGCAGUACCGUUGGAGGCCAAGAGACCAGUUAGAGGACUAUUGGAUAAGCCCAGGUGAGCAAUGAUGAAGGCCUAGAUUAAGAAAGUAGCCGAGGGGAUGGAGAGGAGGGGUCAGAUCACUUCUACUACUUGAUUUAUUUCAUCUACCUAAUAAUCUGCUUUACAGACGAGGAACCAGGAGAGUUUGUUGUGGAGAUCUUGUGACUUGCCUACAUGUCCUAGGAUUGCAGAUCAUUUUUUAACCCAUCUCAGGGAAUCCAUCCUACUCCAACUCCCUGAGUAGCACAUGACUCUGCUUUUCCAGCCACAGACGAUUGAUGAGGGGCAGGCACGGGACCUAAGAGUAACUGAUCCAUAGAGAGGCUAGUGAACUAUGCUCUUGGAGGCUGAGGAGGAAGAUCAGGUUGUUUCUGGGUUUUGAGCAAAAACAUUUAGAGGAAAAUUGCCAUUAGUCGUUGUAUUCAUCUGUUCUCACACUGCUAAUAAAGACAUACCCAAGACUAUAUAAUUACAGUAUUGUAAUGAUAAAGGAAAGAAGUUUAAUUGACUCACAGUUCCACAUGGGUGGGGAGGCCUCACAAUUAUGAUGGAAGGCAAGGAGGAACAAGUCACAUCUUAUACGGUGGCAGGCAAGAGUGAGCUUCGGCAGGGGAACUCCCAUUUAUAAAACCAUCAGAUCUCAUGACACUCACUACCAUGAAAAGAGAGUGGGGUUGGGAGGCCGAGGCAGGUGGAUCACGAGGUCAAGAGAACGAGACCAUCCUGGUCAACAUGGUGAAACCCCGUCUCUACUAAAAAUACAAAAAAUUAGCUGGGCAUGGUGGUGCGUACCUGUAAUCCCAGCUACUCAGGAGGCUGAGGCAGGAGAAUUGCCUGAACCCAGAAAGCAGAGGUUGCGGUGAGCCAAGAUCAUGCCAUUGCACUCCAGCCUGGGUAACAAGAGCGAAACUCCGUCUCCAAAAAAAAAAAAAAAAAAAGAGGGUGGGGAAACCCCCAUGAUUUGAUUAUCUCCAGGUGGCCCACCCUUGAAACAUGGGGAUUAUUACACAACUCAAGGUGAGAGUCGGGUCGGGACACAGCCAAGCCAUACCAGUGGUAGUGGAUGGUAAAACAGAAAGUUUGUGCCAAGACAGGGCUAAGGAUGAUGUGGUCACAAGUGAGCUGACAUUAUUAGGAGAGUAGAAAUAAUAAGUUAGCAAUGUAAGCUGACGGAAUGGAGACAGAACAGAGCAGAUACAGAGAAAAAGGCCAAAAUGCUGAGAGAGGAAACCCAGGCUGCCCAAGGGAGGGAGAGAAGCCGUUCCCAGGGGCUCCUGUGAAACCAGACUCACCUUCACUUGUCUCCCACAAAGGCUCGCAGCGCCACAGCCCCGCACACCAACGAGACUCCACAUC